CCCUCCCCAUUUUCCCCCACUCGCCAUGGCCGCCGUCGCAGUAUCCCCUCCCCAUUAUCUCCCUAUCGCCAUGGCUGUCGUCGCAGUGAAGGCCGGAGGAGGCAAGUUGGCGUUCCACUACGCGGACUGCAGCGGCGCUGCCUUGGUCCCCGAAGACUGGUUUUCGGCUACCCGCGGCGGCCGAGAUCGCCGCGUUGUUGCGGCCCGAUCUCCUCCACGGUGACGGCGUCGCAGGGGGCGGAUACAGGUCGCGUCGUUGUGGAUCGAUCUCCUCCACGGCGACGGUGUCGCAAAAGGCGGAUACGGGUUUGGCGGUGGCCACGAUGAUUAGCUCGUGGAGAUGUUGUGGCGAGCGACCGAGAUAUCGCAGCCACCAAAAUCCCUACGACCACCGUCCAUGGCGGAGGAGGAGCAGGGUGGCGCCUGGGCGCACGAGAUCCCUCCAACCCAGCUGCCAAGAUCCCUCCGAGACCACGCCGACCUGAUCCGAGACUACAUGGUGCUACUUUAACUUAGAAUACAACUUGACAGUAUUCAGAACAAGGCGGUGGGAUGAUGCUGGCAGGAGGAAAAGAGGGAUGCAAUUUCUGAAGGUUUAUAUUUACUAUUUUGAGGAUGACAGGUAUGAAAUUUCGCAAUGGUACUAUGUGUCCUAUACUUAUAGUUAAGUAGCGAUGGUGGCGCAAGGGCGACAUGGUUCUAUCGACGCGGCAGCGGGGUCCGAGGAGACACAGUACAUCCCGCACCUUUGCUUGUUGGCUGGUCUCCUGAAUACCUGCACACUACAUCUACAGUAAGUCAUUGAUGGUUCUUGUUUAAAAUCGUGGUCUUGAAUUCUUGAUAUGAUUACAUGUAAGCUGGGGGUAAGUAGGCAAUUAUUUCAUGUUUAAUCUUGUCACUUGUUCGGUCCAUGGAAAAUGAAAACUCCUAUAAGAAAUUAGUAAUAUAUUGUGCAGUAAAACUUCUCGGGUGCCUUUAAGCAUGAUUUAAGUGUCUACAAGAUUUAGCUUAACCAACAAUAUUUGACAAUGCUUCGAGAGAUAGUUACCUGAUGACAGAAAUAACAACUUUUGUAACAAAUAGUUAAAUAUGAUUUGGAAUUCUUUAUUGAACAUUUAGUAUUUUAUUUACUGAAUUUUGUUUCAGGUUCAUGUUUAUCCUUUUCUAAAAAAGUUGUUUGCAUCAGAUUACUUUUUGUUGUUCGCCAUCUGACUAAUUGAGUCAGAAAAUAUAAUGCGGAGAUGGGAGGAGAAGAAAGCAAAGGAAAUUGGUAUGUGCUGCCUGCCUUCAAUGGUUAGCGAAGCAAGAAUGCUAGGCACCGCAUGCUGCAGCCAAGGAUCAUGAUACUUACCUGACAAGUACUAGGUAGUAGUACACUGGAAUUGUAUGGAACUAUCUUUUUCUUUAACCACUAAAGCAUAUAUAGAAAUAUACAUUGGGAUGUCGUGAUUUUAAAAGUUGAAAUAAAAAUAUCUAUUAUGAAGACCAUAAAGAUAACAAACUUUUAAUUAGAUAAUCGUGUGCUAUAGUUGGAGAGUAAGUUUGCUAUAAUCAGUGUUCUCUACUUCAUGGAGGGAAAGAAAGGGGUUCAGUGAUGACUGCCUUGCCGUGUGCCUUGUGUGGUCUGUGUCUGAAAUCAUAGAAGAAAAAAAUAAAAUCACCAAUAUUUCAGUUGUGCAGCUAAAUAUUCAGUUUUUCACUUUCCACUGAUGGAUUCAUUAGCAUGCAUCGACUGUUGCAGAAUUCCCAAGAUAGAGGCUAUGAUGCCAUGCAAUGCAUCUAACGAACCUCACUGAUGGAUUCAUUAGCAUGCAUCGACUAUUGCAGAAUUCCCAAGCCAAAGGCUAUGAUACCGUGAAAUUUGGCUAAAGAAGCAGGUGCAAGAUGUUUGGGAAGGCUGGUGGCCAGAAGGGGAGCUGCCACAGCAGCCGCGGGCACUGGCUUCACAGAUGUGACAAAUCGGAGGAGCUCAUCGUGCUUCGCCGUAGGCUGGACAGAGUGGAAGCCUUAACUCCUACCUGCGUACUCGCUCUCCGUCACCGGCACAUUUGUCCAUGUUGUCCCUGCCGUCAGAUUGCGUUCAGCUAAACCCCCAUGCCACACGUGAACGCCAAGGCAGCUGCGGCACCGCCAAGGAAGUGAAGGGGUGGACCCAGCGCUGGAGACGAUGGUGUUGCUCGCAUGUCUGGACCAGGCCCUGAAGCGCUGGAGACGAUGGUGUUGCUUUCAAGGACGUGCAACUAAGCUUUGACCGCCACCUCUUCAAGGUGUAAACUGAAGCCUGAAAGGAAACUGAUGCAUAGAGUUUGGUAGAAGAUUAGAAAAAGCCGACGUACAUGACCAAGACACUUCUUGAUUGAAGAAGAUAGCUUGCAAAGAUUACGACUAAGCUUCUAGCUAGGAGGUGACAAUUAGUAAAAUUAUUGGAUCAUCUUUUAUGAUGUUGUACUGUGCUUAGCUAUAUGUGUGUAGUACUGAAGUGGGAAGAGUCAAGUGAAACGAAGAUUGCUUGUAAUGCAUGAACAGUUGUGAAUGUACCAGUUAGAUCAACUUUGUACUAUACAAUUGUCUUCUUAGUUGAGUACUAUGGAAUGCUUGGGAUUGUGUAGAGAAAAU